UGGCUGAGCGCUAAAGCACUUGGCUUCUGAACAGGGGGUGCCAGGUUCGAAUCCUGG
rnacentral:tRNA from 1 species